rnacentral:lncRNA from 1 species
GCGGCGCGGAAGAGAAAAACAAGGCGCAGGGCUAGGCUAGAUGUUUUAUAGGGUGUCGGGGAAGGCAAAUCCCGCGAAAUCCGGAUGAUUCAGGACUUGCCCAAAAUCCAACUCGGUUACGGUUGAGAUGGAAGAAGAACAGUAGCGCUGACUUGCGGGCCCGUGCGGUCAGAGAGAGAAAGAGGCGGGGUCCAGCUGUCAGCGGAUCAAGAGAGAGGAGGGGGGAGGGGGCGGCUGACUGGGCUGGGCGCGCGCUGGCUUGGGCCGAGCUGGGGAGUUGGGCUUCCUGCCGCGCUGGGACGAAGGGGACAGCAGGGGGAGGGGAAAAAAGAGCUGGGUCGAGGUAGGCCGGAAUCAGGUGGGGAAGUUUUGAUUUGUUUGUUUUUUUUCUUCUUUUAUUUCCAAACCUUUUUAAAACUCAUUUAAAAAUACUUUUAAAUCAUUUUGAAUUUUUGAGUUCAAAAACACUCAGCACAAA